GGGGUUGUAGCUCAGUGGUAGAGCACUUGCCUAGCAUGUGUGAAGCACUGGGUUCAAUUCUCAGCACCA
rnacentral:tRNA from 1 species